UCCGGGCUGACGCCGAGUUCUGCCCCCGGCCCGGGGUCCCUCCGAGACAGCUGGGGCAGAAGCGGGGGAACCAGGUUCCGCCGGGCGGUCCCGUCACGAUCGCCCUUGGGGUUAAGUCGUCUGCACGCAGGCGACCGGGCUUCCCGGCCCGCACCCGACAGCUAACCUCGCAGGCGUACGGGAAGGACUC
rnacentral:sRNA from 1 species